AGAGUUUGAUCAUGGCUCAGGAUGAACGCUAGCGACAGGCCUAACACAUGCAAGUCGAGGGGCAGCACAGUGUAGCAAUACAUAGGUGGCGACCGGCGCACGGGUGAGUAACGCGUAUGCAACCUGCCUACAACAGGGGGAUAACCCGGAGAAAUCCGGACUAAUACCGCAUAAAACAGGGGUCCCGCAUGGGAGUAUUUGUUAAAGAUUUAUCGGUUGUAGAUGGGCAUGCGUUCCAUUAGUUGGUUGGUGAGGUAACGGCUCACCAAGACGUCGAUGGAUAGGGGAACUGAGAGGUUUGUCCCCCACACUGGAACUGAGACACGGACCAGACUCCUACGGGAGGCAGCAGUGAGGAAUAUUGGUCAAUGGGCGAGAGCCUGAACCAGCCAAGUCGCGUGAAGGAAGACUGCCUUAUGGGUUGUAAACUUCUUUUAUACAGGAAUAAAAAGGCUUACGUGUAGGCCAUUGCAAGUACUGUAUGAAUAAGCAUCGGCUAACUCCGUGCCAGCAGCCGCGGUAAUACGGAGGAUGCGAGCGUUAUCCGGAUUUAUUGGGUUUAAAGGGUGCGCAGGCGGGCUUUUAAGUCAGCGGUGAAAUCUGGACGCUUAACGUCCAAACUGCCGUUGAAACUGGGAGUCUUGAGUAUGGAUGAAGUAGGCGGAAUUCGUUGUGUAGCGGUGACAUGCAUAGAUAUAACGAGGAACUCCGAUUGCGUAGGCAGCUUACUAAGCCAUAACUGACGCUCAUGCACGAAAGCGUGGGGAUCAAACAGGAUUAGAUACCCUGGUAGUCCACGCCGUAAACGAUGAUUACUAGUUGUAUGCGAUAUGAUAGUAUGUGACUAAGCGAAAGCGAUAAGUAAUCCACCUGGGGAGUACGCCGGCAACGGUGAAACUCAAAGGAAUUGACGGGGGCCCGCACAAGCGGAGGAACAUGUGGUUUAAUUCGAUGAUACGCGAGGAACCUUACCCGGGCUUGAAAUGUACAUGAAUAACGUUGAGAGAUGUUAGCCAGCAAUGGCAUGUAUGUAGGUGCUGCAUGGUUGUCGUCGGCUCGUGCCGUGAGGUGUCGGCUUAAGUGCCAUAACGAGCGCAACCCACAUUAUUAGUUACUAACAGGUUAAGCUGAGGACUCUAAUAAGACUGCCGGCGUAAGCUGCGAGGAAGGUGUGGAUGACGUCAAAUCAGCACGGCCCUUACGUCCGGGGCGACACACGUGUUACAAUGGGUGGUACAAAGGGCAGCUACAUGGCGACAUGGUGCCAAUCUCCAAAACCACUCUCAGUUCGGAUCGGAGUCUGCAACUCGACUCCGUGAAGCUGGAUUCGCUAGUAAUCGCGCAUCAGCCACGGCGCGGUGAAUACGUUCCCGGGCCUUGUACACACCGCCCGUCAAGCCAUGGAAGCUGGGGGUGCCUGAAGUCCGUAACCGUCAAAGGAGCGGCCUAGGGUAAAACCGGUGACUGGGGCUAAGUCGUAACAAGGUAACCGUA
rnacentral:rRNA from 1 species